rnacentral:rRNA from 1 species
UGGGGAAUAUUGGACAAUGGGCGCAAGCCUGAUCCAGCCAUGCCGCGUGAGUGAUGAAGGCCUUAGGGUUGUAAAGCUCUUUCGUCAGGGAAGAUAAUGACGGUACCUGAAGAAGAAGCCCCGGCUAACUUCGUGCCAGCAGCCGCGGUAAUACGAAGGGGGCUAGCGUUGCUCGGAAUCACUGGGCGUAAAGCGCACGUAGGCGGCUUUCUAAGUCAGGGGUGAAAUCCCGGGGCUCAACCCCGGAACUGCCUUUGAUACUGGAGAGCUUGAGUUCGGGAGAGGUGAGUGGAACUGCGAGUGUAGAGGUGAAAUUCGUAGAUAUUCGCAAGAACACCAGUGGCGAAGGCGGCUCACUGGCCCGAUACUGACGCUGAGGUGCGAAAGCAUGGGGAGCAAACAGGAUUAGAUACCCUGGUAGUCCACGCCGUAAACGAUGGAUGCUAGCCGUUGGCGAGCUUGCUCGUCAGUGGCGCAGCUAACG